UUUUCGCCUCUUCUUGUUUUUUUUUUCCGAGUCGUUCCAAAGUCAUCCGCAUCAUGCAUACAUCAUAUACAUGCCUUUGACAAAAUAAAAGUUAUUUUAAAUAAACCCUAUUUCACUAUUUUAUUCUCAUAUGGUUCUAUAUGAGCCCUCCUUUAAUCUUUGCUUAUUUAACCAAAACCUUCUAGUUCUUAUUUGCAUUUAAAAUCCCAAAGAAAAAUAAAUAUUUUUUAAGCCUUGUAAAAUUGUUUUGCAAUGCAAAUAAAGCUUUUCAAAUCUUUCCAAACCCUCCUCUUUCUUGUCCAAGAAAUUCAGCAAGAGAAAGAAAAGAAGGGAGCUAUUCUGGAGAAGAGGAAAGUAGCCAGGGAACCAACAUGCCAGACUGAAUCGCCUUGCUGGUUGUCUUCUGUCAUGCAAGGCGCGUGACCACGACGUCCUCCGUGCUGGCUGUGCGCUCCUCCUCCACCACUUCCUCCCACCUGCUCCUCCUUAUCCCUAACCAGAUCCCCAAGUGAACCCUAGUCUUCCUCCUCUACCGCCGCCGCCCUCUUUCCCUUCUCCACGGCAACAUCAGGCACAAAAUCUUCUUCAGAAAAUCCAGCUAAGACACCAAGUUUCGCCGGAGAUAAAUCCACGCGUCUCCGCCGUUCCUCGCCGCCCUCUGCCGUGCUGACCACGAGAAUGGAGCCCCCGUGGCCUCUCUUCCUCCUCGCUGAGUUCCUGGAGCAGGUGCAGUUCCUGGACGCCUUCUUUGACCUCGUCUUCUUCCUUGAGUCAGCCCGUCCUCUUCCUCUUCUCUGAUGACUCCCACGUCCUCGAGCUCGCCCACUUCGUCAUCAAACCCAGGCUAAAACAAUCUUCAUCAGUUUGUCUCCGUCGGCGUGCAAAGAUUAUUCUGCGUCUUGGAUUGGAUGGUGUUCGCGAGCACCCUCUUUUGAUCAGCAACCGGAGCAUUUGCUUCUUCCCGGAUAGGAUCACGAAGUGGUAUGGUGAGAUAUGACGAGUUCUCCGACAAGUUCUUCUGCAGCUUUUCACAGGCGAGCCCUCUCUCUUCACCUAUUUUAUAUUUUGCUCUCCCUCGCACUGCUAUACAUAGGUUGCGCUUCUUUAUCGAGUCACGUGUCCUAUUCCACUUGUUACCAUAAUAAUCCUAUAUGUAUCAUUCCUUACCCAUAGCCGUUGCUUGAUGUUUGAGCCUUGCGAGUCGUAGGCGUGUUUAGGCUUUGUUGUUUAUCUCGAUCUGUUAUCGGGAUAUGUUGGGUUGUUGGGAGGUUAUCACAUGUUAUAUCAGUUGUUGAAGAUACACAUGCUUUACUUGUUUGUUAACAACUAAAAUUGUAAGCAGCGGCAUCUGUGAGCCCCUUUGCGAAAGCAUCGGAACUUUGACUUGCUAAUGUCCCCUAGGACCCGAGUUCUUGUUAUCUGUUCCGAGAUUGAGCGCUCUACCCGUACGUGGGGGAGUGGGACCCCCAUCACCCACUACCUUUCCUCGAGUCUGUUUAUUGGGAGCCACAACCUUGGUUUUAUUUGCUCAUAUGCACGAUGCACGAUUUACUUCUGUUGCCUUCGGGUGUUU